rnacentral:rRNA from 1 species
UACAGAGGUCUCAAGCGUUGUUCGGAUUCAUUGGGCGUAAAGGGCGCGUAGGCUGCGGGGCAAGUCGGGUGUGAAAUCUCAGAGCUCAACUCUGAAACUGCACUCGAUACUGCUUUGCUCGAGGACUGGAGAGGAGAUUGGAAUUCACGGUGUAGCAGUGAAAUGCGUAGAUAUCGGGAGGAAGACCAGUGGCGAAGGCGGAUCUCUGGACAGUUCCUGACGCUGAGGCGCGAAGGCCAGGGGAGCAAACGGG